UAAUAAGUGUUUUUAUGGCACUUUUUUAAAUCCAUAUCCACCUUGUGUGCAAUGUCAGUCGGUUUUUCUUUUUUCGUCAAGAAAAAAAAAGGAUCGACCAAACAUCAACUUAUUCUAAUUGAACUUUUGUCUGAAAACUAUUAUGAAAUAAACUAAUUCAAAAUA
rnacentral:misc_RNA from 1 species